rnacentral:RNase_P_RNA from 1 species
GACAAAUGCUGGAAUAAGUACUAUUCUUGAGGAAAGUCCAUGCUCGCACAGUCUGAGAUGACUGUAGUGUUCGUGCCUAGGGAAAAAAUAACCUAGGGUAGUUAUACUAACGGCAGAUGAUGUUCUAAGUCAUUGAUAUGAACUAUUCUGUAAAGUGCCACAGUGACGAUUCUUUUAGAAAUAAAAGGAGUGAAACGAGGUAAACCCCACGAGCGAGAAACCCAAAAUUUGGUAGGGGAGUCUUAACAAAAGAAUUGAAUGGAGUUAAGGACCAUUAUGGUAGAUAAAUAUUUGUCACCUUUUUAAGGUACAGAACAUGGCUUAUU